rnacentral:lncRNA from 1 species
AACAACAUCUGACAUCUUUACCCACUUUAACUGUGAGUAUAUGAAAUCUAGGCAACAAAAUAAAUAGAACAGAGACUGGAAGACGUGAUGCUUCCUGGGAGAACAUGUGCCCCAUCAAGCAAAGAACUUGUAAUACGCUGAAUGCUGCAUAGAAGGUUUUGAAACUACUUACCUGCUGUGGAACACCUGUAUAACUUUAAAAUGCAUCAAUCAAUCUCGAGAGUAUGAUCAUGCUUCCUGCUUUUAAGGAUCUGAAGUUAACUGCAACUCCAAGUAUACAAGACUUCUUUGGGACCCAUGGAAGCAUCUCUACAUGCUCAUGUUUGCCAGAUUCAGUGGCCUC